rnacentral:rRNA from 1 species
ACGCUCGACACCUACGGGAGGAGCAGUAGGGAAUCUUCCACAAUGGGCGCAAGCCUGAUGGAGCAACACCGCGUGAGUGAAGAAGGGUUUCGGCUCGUAAAGCUCUGUUGUUGGAGAAGAACGUGCGUGAGAGUAACUGUUCACGCAGUGACGGUAUCCAACCAGAAAGUCACGGCUAACUACGUGCCAGCAGCCGCGGUAAUCUGAGCGGGCUGGCAAGGC